rnacentral:lncRNA from 1 species
CGGCCGCGCGCGAUGUGGGAACUCGCGGCCGGAGCGCCCGGGGAGGCCGGGCCCACGACGCCCGCGGCUCCGCUGCGGCAGCGGCGGUGCUGGUGGCGCGCGCGGCCGGGAGGCGGCUUCGCGCCGUGGGCGGGAGGCUGCGGCGGGCGACCCGUCCUGGACACGCGAGGAAGAGCGAGCCGAUGGCGGCAGCGGCCGCGCUUCGACCCGGUAACUUAGAAGAUGAUAAUUAAUGUGGUUGCUGAUAAUUCUGAAUAAAUACAGCUUUUAUCCCAGAAAUGUGAAUCCUCAGAUGGAAUGAAAGGCCUGCACCAUAGACAUUGAAGCAUUUACACCCCGCUUGAAGAGUUUGAAAUGGACUUUACUACUGAGAAAUCAAGAUGGCAGCCCAUUAUGGGGGAAUUGAGGAA